GACGAACGCUGGCGGCGUGCUUAACACAUGCAAGUCGAACGGAAAGGCCCUGCUUGCAGGGUACUCGAGUGGCGAACGGGUGAGUAACACGUGGGUGAUCUGCCCUGCACUUCGGGAUAAGCCUGGGAAACUGGGUCUAAUACCGGAUAGGAGCCAUUUUUAGUGUGAUGGUUGGAAAGUUUUUUCGGUGUAGGGUGAGCUCGCGGCCUAUCAGCUUGUUGGUGGGGUAAUGGCCUACCAAGGCGGCGACGGGUAGCCGGCCUGAGAGGGUGGACGGCCACAUUGGGACUGAGAGACGGCCCAGACUCCUACGGGAGGCAGCAGUGGGGAAUAUUGCACAAUGGGCGCAAGCCUGAUGCAGCGACGCCGCGUGGGGGAUGACGGCCUUCGGGUUGUAAACUCCUUUCGCUGGGGACGAAGCUUUUUGUGACGGUACCUAGAUAAGAAGCACCGGCUAACUACGUG
rnacentral:rRNA from 1 species